rnacentral:rRNA from 1 species
GGCCAGAGACCGAACGUUAGUCGUCCUAAUCAGGCGUAAAGGGUGUGUAGGCUGCUUUCAAAUCCUAUCUUUCAAAUAGCUAUUAUAACGAAGAUCUGUUUAAAGGGAGUACACUUUAAAUAUCUCUUAUAAGUUCAGAUAGGAUGAAUAAAAGCUAGAAUCAAAACGAGGAUAAGCCAAAUAAUACUUAGAGUAGGGUUGAUAUCCGUAGAUACUAAGUGGAAUACUAACAGUGAAAACUAUUUAUCUAGAAAUGAUUGACGCUGAGAAACGAAGGUGAGAAUAGGAAAUAGGAUUAGAUACCCAGAUACCUCUCACUGUUAACGAUGAAUGGUGGUUUGUUAGUUUAUAGAGGAACUAGUAACGAUGCUAACGCGAACAA